AUUGAUCCAUUCCAUUAUUCGAUGCGUUUGCAUAUUCAGCGUCGAGCGCCCUGUUGCAGAAAUGUACUAUUAUCUGCAUUCUGCGGUCCCUGAUUCAUCGCACACAAAAUGGGCCGAGUUUAACCUUGCUUUUCAGCUUGACCAGUUGAUUAGUGUUGAGUAAGGACGCUUUAAAUAAAGCUGAACUAGUUCAAUGUGUUUUUUGCAAUUAGUAUUAUAUAUAAAACUGCGCGACGGUCCGAAUCAGAAUGAAAGGAACAUCUUAAUCCGGUCAAAAUAAUUAAAAAAGGAACGGCAACAAAAAAUUUAGUGGGAUUCCAUCUUACCUUAUGAGACAUUGGCCCAAGGCCAAGACCCAGGACGGUGACCAUAGUAUGCUUUAAGAAGCAUAGAUUCUGGUCUCUAUUUAAAAAAACAAACAGCCAAAUUGUUGCUUUUGCCUGGCACUAAGCCAAGCAAAACACUUUUUGGUCCCAAUCAAAUGGAAAUGGAAUACUUCCAAAGAGACGGAAUAAAAGCUGCUUGACAUAUGCAGGAUACGAUACGAUAUGCCAGCCAUGCCCCCAAAACCCAUUCAAAGGCAUGGAAGGGGAAUGGAGCUUGUUGAAAUUGCAUUAAAAUAAAAUUGAAUGGAAAAUGGGGGGAAACUCAAAAAUAUUCGA